ACGAACGCUGGCGGCGUGCUUAACACAUGCAAGUCGAACGGAAAGGCCCUGCUUUUGUGGGGUGCUCGAGUGGCGAACGGGUGAGUAACACGUGAGUAACCUGCCCUUGACUUUGGGAUAACUUCAGGAAACUGGGGCUAAUACCGGAUAGGAGCUCCUGCUGCAUGGUGGGGGUUGGAAAGUUUCGGCGGUUGGGGAUGGACUCGCGGCUUAUCAGCUUGUUGGUGGGGUAGUGGCUUACCAAGGCUUUGACGGGUAGCCGGCCUGAGAGGGUGACCGGCCACAUUGGGACUGAGAUACGGGCCAGACUCCUACGGGAGGCAGCAGUGGGGAAUAUUGCACAAUGGGCGGAAGCCUGAUGCAGCAACGCCGCGUGCGGGAUGACGGCCUUCGGGUUGUAAACCGCUUUCGCCUGUGACGAAGCGUGAGUGACGGUAAUGGGUAAAGAAGCACCGGCUAACUACGUG
rnacentral:rRNA from 1 species